GGGCCUGUAGCUCAGCCGGUUAGAGCGUCCGCCUGAUAAGCGGGAGGUCAGCAGUUCGAGUCUGCUCAGGCCCACCA
rnacentral:tRNA from 1 species